rnacentral:rRNA from 1 species
AUACGUAGGGUGCGAGCGUUAAUCGGAAUUACUGGGCGUAAAGGGUGCGCAGGCGGCCUUGUAAGUCAGAUGUGAAAGCCCCGGGCUUAACCUGGGAAUUGCGUUUGAAACUACAAAGCUAGAGUGCAACAGAGGGGAGUGGAAUUCCAUGUGUAGCAGUGAAAUGCGUAGAGAUGUGGAAGAACACCGAUGGCGAAGGCAGCUCCCUGGGUUGACACUGACGCUCAUGCACGAAAGCGUGGGGAGCAAACAGGAUUAGAUACCCUGGUAGUCCACGCCCUAAACUAUGUCAACUAGUUGUCGGAUCUAAUUAAGGAUUUGGUAACGUAGCUAACGCGUGAAGUGGACCGCCUGGGGAGUACGAUCGCAAGAUUAAA